AUUGAACGCUGGCGGCAUGCCUUACACAUGCAAGUCGAACGGCAGCGCGGGGCAACCUGGCGGCGAGUGGCGAACGGGUGAGUAACAUAUCGGAACAUACCCUAGAGUGGGGGAUAACGUAGCGAAAGUUACGCUAAUACCGCAUACGCACUAAGGUGGAAAGUGGGGGAUCUUCGGACCUCAUGCUCAUGGAGUGGCCGAUAUCUGAUUAGCUAGUUGGUGAGGUAAAGGCUCACCAAGCCGACGAUCUGUAGCUGGUCUGAGAGGACGACCAGCCACACUGGGACUGAGACACGGCCCAGACUCCUACGGGAGGCAGCAGUGGGGAAUUUUGGACAAUGGGCGCAAGCCUGAUCCAGCAAUGCCGCGUGCAGGAUGAAGGCCUCGGUUGUAAC
rnacentral:rRNA from 1 species